rnacentral:rRNA from 1 species
GACGAACGCUGGCGGCGCGCUUUAUACAUGCAAGUCGAACGUGAAGCUCGGAGCUUGCUCCGGGUGGAAAGUGGCGAACGGGUGAGUAUCACGUGAGAAACCUGCCCCGAAGACCGGGAUAACACCGGGAAACCGGUGCUAAUACCGGAUGCCCUCACCGGAUCGCAUGGUCUGGUGAGGAAAUGGAUUCCGCUUCGGGAUGGUCUCGCGGCCUAUCAGCUUGUUGGUGGGGUAACGGCCCACCAAGGCUUCGACGGGUAGCUGGUCUGAGAGGAUGUCCAGCCACACUGGGACUGAGACACGGCCCAGACUCCUACGGGAGGCGGCAGUAGGGAAUCUUGCACAAUGGACGAAAGUCUGAUGCAGCGACGCCGCGUGUGGGAUGACUGCCCUC